rnacentral:rRNA from 1 species
CCUACGGGCGGCAGCAGUGAGGAAUAUUGGUCAAUGGGCGCGAGCCUGAACCAGCCAAGUAGCGUGAAGGAUGACUGCCCUACGGGUUGUAAACUUCUUUUACAAAGGAAUAAAGCGAGGCACGUGUGCCUUUUUGUAUGUACGUUAUGAAUAAGGAUCGGCUAACUCCGGGCCAGCAGCCGCGGUAAUACGGAGGAUCCGAGCGUUAUCCGGAUUUAUUGGGUUUAAAGGGAGCGUAGAUGGGUUGUUAAGUCAGUUGUGAAAGUUUGCGGCUCAACCGUAAAAUUGCAGUUGAAACUGGCAGCCUUGAGUGCAGUUGAGGUAGGCGGAAUUCGUGGUGUAGCGGUGAAAUGCUUAGAUAUCACGAGGAACCCCGAUUGCGAAGGCAGCUUGCUGGACUGCCACUGACGUUGAGGCUCGAAAGUGUGGGUAUCAAACAGGAUUAGAUACCCCUGUAGUC